UUCUCUGCUGAUUUGAGCAACGCUCCCACAAUCCUGCGGGCGCCUCGUUGCCUUGAAAGCAGUCAGCUGGAAUUUGCUAUUUUAGGAGCGAGAAAUCGGAGAGAGGGAGAAGAAGGAGAAGGAGAAGGAGAAGAAAGAGAAGGAGAAAAGCGUAUUCCUGUGAGUGCAGAGGAAUGAUUUAACAGGAUUUCAGUCGAGGGGAAAAGGCAUAAAAAAAAGCAUUAGGAUUCGUUUUCGUUCGAACGAGGCUUCGUGUUUCUAUAACCUAGGAAGCAAUACUGGAAGCAAGGGUCAGAAAAGGAAUCGGACCCACCAGGUGCUCCAGAAGGACUUCACUUUGUGUUGUUGCUGCACGCUGGGCAGUGCAGGAAGGGCAAGGGCCAUGCUCAGCACUCCCAAUGCAAACUGCACUGAGCAGUGAGCUUGGCACGGCUCUCCCAGCCCAGCAGUGGCCUCAAUAGGGGAGAUGAGGGCUGAGAUUCAGCCCCAGCCCCGUUCAGAGCCCGACCCCACUGCGCUGUGCUCGAGGGUUUCGCUCCCAGGCAGUAGAGCAGUAACAAAAAAGACGAAAGGUCAUGAGAAAAUGGUAUCGCACCCGAGCUCCUAAAGGCAGCCUGAAAUUUCCUCUCCCACUUCUGGGAUUCAUCUGCUCCUUUCCCAUUAAAAUUAAUGAUAAGAGCUCAUCCAUUUCUCAGCUCCUCGGUCGCUCCGCAGCCUCUUCCUUCGCUCGAUGCUAAAACAGAGACAAGCCCGGACCACGUCCCCAGAGCCUCAAAGCAAAGUUUGCUUUUGCAGUUAAACAAAGCAGCUUCUCCCUGCCCGGCGAUGUUGCAAAACAGCGAUACGUUAUUGCACGGCUCUCAGUAUUGAUCUGUGGUGUUAAUCUGGGGAUCUGUGCUGGUCACACGGCGAGGUCCUGCUUUCCCAGCCCAGCUCUCAUGCAAUAGGGAUUCCUCUUAAGCACCCUUUCACUGCAGGAGCUCUGAAAUCAAACAAAGUUUCUAGUCCCCAGGAUUUUGUACUGGGAAUGGGGGGG